rnacentral:tRNA from 1 species
AUUACUUUGGUGUAGUAAGCAUAGCUAAUUUCCAAUUAGAAGGUUUAUAAGUAAUA